GUAGGGUGCGAGCGUUAAUCGGAAUUACUGGGCGUAAAGCGUGCGCAGGCGGUUGUGCAAGACAGAUGUGAAAUCCCCGGGCUCAACCUGGGAAUUGCAUUUGUGACUGCACGGCUAGAGUGUGUCAGAGGGGGGUAGAAUUCCACGUGUAGCAGUGAAAUGCGUAGAGAUGUGGAGGAAUACCGAUGGCGAAGGCAGCCCCCUGGGAUAACACUGACGCUCAUGCACGAAAGCGUGGGGAGCAAACAGGAUUAGAUACCCUGGUAGUCCCACGCCCUAAACGAUGUCAACUAGUUGUCGGGUCUUAAUUGACUUGGUAACGCAGCUAACGCGUGAAGUUGACCGCCUGGGAGUACGGUCGCAAGAUUA
rnacentral:rRNA from 1 species